AGAAAUUAUCACCGUUCCCUGGCAAACAUCCUAAUUACAAAUACCUCACAUUAGAUGUAUUAAGAAAGGUAAAUGGUACUUUAAAAAUUCCUUGAAUAAAUUGCUGUGUUGACUAGUUCUCCGCACACACCUUGAGGUCAGUGAUUGCGGCCUACGAACCUUACACAAACCGAGUGGAUAAACAUCAAUCGCAAAUGGCGGUAGUGAGGUCGUGAGAAUUGUCAAAGUCUGAAAAAAAUUAACGAUUCUAAAGAAAUGACGACCUUGACGGACCCCUCCGUCUUGCCAAAGACUAAAAAACCAUCCGAUAGUGCAUUCAAACAGCAACGGCUCCCUGCGUGGCAACCAAUUCUUACAGCUGGAACAGUUCUUCCAACAUUCUUUGUAAUAGGAAUAGCUUUCAUACCAGUUGGCAUAGGAUUACUUUAUUUUUCGGAGGAGGUCAAGGAACAUUCCAUCGAUUACACUAAUUGCAUUUCCAAUAGUUCAGCUUCUGGUAACGAAACAAAAUGUGCCGACAUAAUUGCUUUGAAUUCCUCAGCUGUGUGCUAUUGUGAAAUUAACUUCACAUUGACAAACGAAUUUGGUGGUAACGUUUAUAUGUACUAUGGCCUGACCAAUUUUUAUCAGAAUCAUAGACGAUAUGUUAAAUCUCGUGAUGAUAACCAGCUAUUGGGCCAGUUAAGUCAGACACCAUCCAGCGACUGUAAACCUUUUGCUUAUUCUUACGUAAAUAACACUGAAAUGCCUAUAGCCCCUUGUGGAGCAAUAGCAAAUUCGUUGUUCAGUGACGAGUUGACUCUUUGGUCCCAUGUGCACCAGAAUUUUGUUCCAUUAUUGAAUUAUGGCAUAGCUUGGCCUUCUGAUAAAUCCAUCAAGUUCGCAAAUCCUAAAGGUUAUGAUACUUUGGAAGACGCUUUCAAGGACUAUGCAAAACCAAAAAAUUGGUCCAAAGCUAUUUAUGAAUUGGAUACAAAAAAUGUUAGCAACAACGGAUUUCAAAAUGAAGACCUAAUUGUCUGGAUGAGAACGGCAGCCCUUCCUAGUUUCAGGAAACUGUAUCGCAGAAUUGAUCACUCUCAAGACAGUUUCAAGGGAGGAUUAGUUCGUGGAAAUUACAGCCUCAUCGUUAAAUACUCAUAUCCUGUAGCAGCAUUUGAAGGUACCAAACGGAUGAUAUUAAGUACCACCUCACUUUUAGGGGGUAAAAACCCUUUCCUUGGCAUUGCCUAUAUCGUAGUAGGCUGCGUCUGUUUGAUAUUGGGAAUUGCCUUGUUGAUUAUUCAUAUUAAAUGCUCUAAGAGUUUCAGUUGAAUGCCUAGCGUACAUGGAUGCUUCCAGUAACUAAAUUCCAUAUUGAGGAAACUUACUGUACAAACCAGAUGAUCAACGUUAACCAGAACACACCGUACCAAUGAAGCACCCGUCGCAUGUUGGUAGUUACUUGAAUUUACCAAUUUCAGCAUUUAUGUAAUCGUUGACUAAAUAUUCAUCACUGUUAGACUAUACAAAGGUAUUGCUGAUUACAUCAUAUGAUUAAUCAGUGAUACUGGAAAAACAGUGUUUUGUUUGCCUAUAAUAUUCAUUCAUUUAAUAUUAAAUGCUUUUCAAGUUAAAUAGUUUUAGAUUAGCUUGAAAUCACUUAAGUAUUAAACAAUCUCUUAGAAAUUCACAGAUAACAAAAAAUAAUGUAUUGUAAUAUUUUGCAACAUAUUUGUUAUUAGCUCAUUUUUAACUUAAUUCGGAACAGUCACAAUUGUUUGCUCAUAUCCUCUUUUUUAUUCUUGUAACUGUUGCCAAUUUGUUUUUUGUAUAUAACACAUAUAGUAUAUUUUAAAUCAUCAACUCCGCAAAACCUGACCUGAAUCAAUUGUUUCAAAGAAUUUGAAAUAUAAAUGUAUGUCUGGAAUAAACAAAAGGAUUGCAACACUAAGAUUUAAAAUAUAUGAAUCAAUUAAAUAUAGUGAUAUUUGGGCUUUGCUUUAUACUUCUAAUCAAACACAAGCAAAAUGUGUGAUGAUAGUUCCUGAUAAACUCAGAAUGAAAGUAAUAUUAAAAACUGAUUCAAGAUUAUAAUCAAUUUUGAAACUACCAAAUAUUCCAACAGGUGUGACUUUAUGGUAUUAUCGACGUGCCUCUGCAUGUGAUAAUUUUAGGUAACUAGUUAUAAAUAUGUAUUUAUAUAAUUUAAUUCUUGAUGACUAGUCUAUAUAAUUUCAUAACAUAUUCAUAUUAUUGGAAGAGCACAAAUUUACAAUAUUGAAUUUAUUAUUACGCAUUUAAAUAUUUUAUCUAAUGUUACAUAGAAUAAGUAAAUAAUAUGAUGCUUGAGUAACAGUGUAAUAAACCAUUUAUGACAUAGCAA